GUGACUGCGUACCUUUUGUAUAAUGGGUCAGCGACUUAUAUUCUGUAGCAAGGUUAACCGAAUAGGGGAGCCGAAGGGAAACCGAGUCUUAACUGGGCGUUAAGUUGCAGGGUAUAGACCCGAAACCCGGUGAUCUAGCCAUGGGCAGGUUGAAGGUUGGGUAACACUAACUGGAGGACCGAACCGACUAAUGUUGAAAAAUUAGCGGAUGACUUGUGGCUGGGGGUGAAAGGCCAAUCAAACCGGGAGAUAGCUGGUUCUCCCCGAAAGCUAUUUAGGUAGCGCCUCGUGAAUUCAUCUCCGGGGGUAGAGCACUGUUUCGGCAAGGGGGUCAUCCCGACUUACCAACCCGAUGCAAACUGCGAAUACCGGAGAAUGUUAUCACGGGAGACACACGGCGGGUGCUAACGUCCGUCGUGAAGAGGGAAACAACCCAGACCGCCAGCUAAGGUCCCAAAGUCAUGGUUAAGUGGGAAACGAUGUGGGAAGGCCCAGACAGCCAGGAUGUUGGCUUAGAAGCAGCCAUCAUUUAAAGAAAGCGUAAUAGCUCACUGGUCGAGUCGGCCUGCGCGGAAGAUGUAACGGGGCUAAACCAUGCACCGAAGCUGCGGCAGCGACGCUUAUGCGUUGUUGGGUAGGGGAGCGUUCUGUAAGCCUGUGAAGGUGUGCUGUGAGGCAUGCUGGAGGUAUCAGAAGUGCGAAUGCUGACAUAAGUAACGAUAAAGCGGGUGAAAAGCCCGCUCGCCGGAAGACCAAGGGUUCCUGUCCAACGUUAAUCGGGGCAGGGUGAGUCGACCCCUAAGGCGAGGCCGAAAGGCGUAGUCGAUGGGAAACAGGUUAAUAUUCCUGUACUUGGUGUUACUGCGAAGGGGGGACGGAGAAGGCUAUGUUGGCCGGGCGACGGUUGUCCCGGUUUAAGCGUGUAGGCUGGUUUUCCAGGCAAAUCCGGAAAAUCAAGGCUGAGGCGUGAUGACGAGGCACUACGGUGCUGAAGCAACAAAUGCCCUGCUUCCAGGAAAAGCCUCUAAGCAUCAGGUAACAUCAAAUCGUACCCCAAACCGACACAGGUGGUCAGGUAGAGAAUACCAAGGCGCUUGAGAGAACUCGGGUGAAGGAACUAGGCAAAAUGGUGCCGUAACUUCGGGAGAAGGCACGCUGAUAUGUAGGUGAAGUCCCUCGCGGAUGGAGCUGAAAUCAGUCGAAGAUACCAGCUGGCUGCAACUGUUUAUUAAAAACACAGCACUGUGCAAACACGAAAGUGGACGUAUACGGUGUGACGCCUGCCCGGUGCCGGAAGGUUAAUUGAUGGGGUUAGCGCAAGCGAAGCUCUUGAUCGAAGCCCCGGUAAACGGCGGCCGUAACUAUAACGGUCCUAAGGUAGCGAAAUUCCUUGUCGGGUAAGUUCCGACCUGCACGAAUGGCGUAAUGAUGGCCAGGCUGUCUCCACCCGAGACUCAGUGAAAUUGAACUCGCUGUGAAGAUGCAGUGUACCCGCGGCAAGACGGAAAGACCCCGUGAACCUUUACUAUAGCUUGACACUGAACAUUGAGCCUUGAUGUGUAGGAUAGGUGGGAGGCUUUGAAGUGUGGACGCCAGUCUGCAUGGAGCCGACCUUGAAAUACCACCCUUUAAUGUUUGAUGUUCUAACGU
rnacentral:rRNA from 1 species